rnacentral:lncRNA from 1 species
CCCCGCCGCGGAGGGAGCGCGCGGAGACGGCGGCCGAGGCAAAGUUACUAAUUAUGGUCGCGAAUCCCUUCCCCUCUUUCCUUCAAGGACAGUUUCAAAUUCUGCGCCGCCUAAUGGCUCCAAAUUACCAUUGCACAACCAUCUGGUAUGACAAGAAGUGGGAGAAAAAAAAAAGGAGAACAAAGGCAAACGCAGGAGAAAGAGGCACCGUUUAGACCCAAAUCCUCCCGGGGAAUGGCCCAAUCCGCGCUAAAAUGCCCCCGAGGAUUAAUGGGAAGGUUCUGGUCGUUCAGCCCUGGGCUUUUUGGAGCUCUCGGAGAAGCAGAGCCUUCCGUGCCUAGCACUGCCUGCCUGUGUUCUCCAUAGGGGCAGCAGCAGCACUAUGGCUGUUUGUAAUCCAGCAUGGAGACACUGCUCAGCCUUCUCCUUGCAAACAAAACAGCCCAAAGUGAACUCACAGGCUCCCCUGCUCGCACAGGCGAGCCCGAACACACAUUCUAACCAUCUCCCUUCAGUCCCAGCUCCACUUUAGGACACGCACACAAAAUUAAAAAUGCAAAAACUCCACAUACACACAACACACACACACACAAAUUACAGUUAUCUUUGCAAAUGCUUCUUUAAUCUCUCCCCUUCGUUCCCCAUCUCGCUCCCCUAUUUUUUUUUUACUUACCUUUCUUUUGGGCAUAGUUGCACCUUAAUAGUUGAUUGCAAAAUAUAUAGAUAUAGAUAUAUAUAAAAAAUAAAUGUAACCACCAAAAAACUGUUUCAACCGUUCUGCAAAAUUGCCAAAAAAAAAAAAAACGUAUAAGGGACCAAGAGUUAAUUGCAGCAGAAACUGAACAAAAAAAAAUCCCCCCCUCUUUAUUGCAAACAGUAAAAUACACCAACACGCAACCAAACUGCAUGAAUGGAGAGCGCGAGAUGGGUCCAGCCGCGGAGUGACGGGCGCGGCGGCCAAUGGGCGCGCGGGCAGCGGCACGGGAGGCGGGGGCACGGCCGGGGGGCGGGGCCGGCGCCGUAGCGCGAGCGACGCUCACACACAGAGAGACGGCGGCGCUACGCUGUGUGCGCAAGGCGGCCGGCCUAAAGCGCGCGGAUCAGAACCAAGCAGCAGAUAAGAGAAGCAUUCACAUGAAUGGCCAUGCGAUGAAGAACUUAGUCCUUGCUGCUCCCCUUUAAUGUUAAAGUGAAGGAGGCUGCGGUCAAUAGUACAAAUCUGACCCAGUCUUACUGCAGGUACAGUGAUUAUGUCAUUCUUCACACUGCUGUCUCUGCAAUCAGAAGGGUGGAUGAGAUGCAUCUGAGGGUGCUGAGAGAUGACAGCAUAGCAAAGCUGCCUUGACUGCUUCGCUAAAGUCAAUAGGUAAGGUCUACCAUGACAACUUCUGUUAGACUAGAAGCAAGUAGGACAUAGACUCUGGAUACAUUAGACUCUCAACCUGGUUCAUUUAACAAUGAACAACCCCAUAAUCACAAAUGCAG